rnacentral:rRNA from 1 species
CGUAGGGUGCGAGCGUUAAUCGGAAUUACUGGGCGUAAAGCGUGCGCAGGCGGUUUGAUAAGACAGGCGUGAAAUCCCCGAGCUUAACUUGGGAAUGGCGCUUGUGACUGUCAGGCUAGAGUAUGUCAGAGGGGGGUAGAAUUCCACGUGUAGCAGUGAAAUGCGUAGAGAUGUGGAGGAAUACCGAUGGCGAAGGCAGCCCCCUGGGACGUCACUGACGCUCAUGCACGAAAGCGUGGGGAGCAAACAGG